rnacentral:rRNA from 1 species
CCUGGGCUACACACGUGCUACAAGUGGUCGGUACAAAGGGUUGCCAAGCCGCGAGGUGGAGCUAAUCCCAUAAACCGAUCGUAGUCCGGAUCGCAGUCUGCAACUCGACUGCGUGAAGUCGGAAUCGCUAGUAAUCGCGGAUCAGAAUGUCGCGGUGAAUACGUUCCCGGGUCUU